UGAACGCUAGCGGCAGGCUUAACACAUGCAAGUCGGAGGGUAUGCCGAUUUAUCGGCAGAGACCGGCGCACGGGUGCGUAACGCGUAUGCAAUCUACCUUUCACAGAGGGAUAGCCCAGAGAAAUUUGGAUUAAUACCUCAUAGUAUAGCAAUUUCGCAUGAAACCACUAUUAAAGUUCCAACGGUGAAAGAUGAGCAUGCGUCCCAUUAGCUAGAUGGUAAGGUAACGGCUUACCAUGGCUACGAUGGGUAGGGGUCCUGAGAGGGAGAUCCCCCCACACUGGUACUGAGACACGGACCAGACUCCUACGGGAGGCAGCAGUGAGGAAUAUUGGUCAAUGGACGCAAGUCUGAACCAGCCAUGCCGCGUGCAGGAUGACGGUCCUAUGGAUUGUAAACUGCUUUGUACGAGAAGAAACAACAUUACGUGUAAUGUCUUGACGGUAUCGUAAGAAUAAGGAUCGGCUAACUCCGUG
rnacentral:rRNA from 1 species